GCUGGUGUAUGUGAUGACGAAACUUUUUUCCCCAUCAGAUCGACCAUGUUGAUCUCAAUUCCUCUUUGCCAGGUAUUUUCUGAUACACCAGC
rnacentral:snoRNA from 1 species